rnacentral:tRNA from 1 species
GGCUUCGUAGCUCAGCUGGUAGAGCGCUUGCCGACUGUUACUGGUUCGAAUCCAGCCGAAGCCC